UGACAGGAGGUGACAGGAGGUGACACAGGAGGUGACAGGAGGUGACAGGAGGUGACACAGGAGGUGACACAGGAGGUGACACAGGAGGUGACAGGAGGUGACAGGAGGUGACAGGAGGUGACACAGGAGGUGACACAGGAGGUGACACAGGAGGUGACACAGGAGGUGACAGGAGGUGACAGGAGGUGACACAGGAGGUGACACAGGAGGUGACACAGGAGGUGACACAGGAGGUGACAGGAGGUGACAGGAGGUGACACAGGAGGUGACAGGAGGUGACAGGAGGUGACACAGGAGGUGACACAGGAGGUGACACAGGAGGUGACACAGGAGGUGACAGGAGGUGACACAGGAGGUGACACAGGAGGUGACACAGGAGGUGACACAGGAGGUGACACAGGAGGUGACAGGAGGUGACACAGGAGGUGACAGGAGGUGACAGGAGGUGACACAGGAGGUGACACAGGAGGUGACACAGGAGGUGACACAGGAGGUGACAGGAGGUGACACAGGAGGUGACAGGAGGUGACACAGGAGGUGACACAGGAGGUGACACAGGAGGUGACAGGAGGUGACACAGGAGGUGACACAGGAGGUGACACAGGAGGUGACAGGAGGUGACACAGGAGGUGACACAGGAGGUGACACAGGAGGUGACAGGAGGUGACAGGAGGUGACAGGAGGUGACACAGGAGGUGACACAGGAGGUGACACAGGAGGUGACAGGAGGUGACACAGGAGGUGACACAGGAGGUGACACAGGAGGUGACAGGAGGUGACACAGGAGGUGACAGGAGGUGACACAGGAGGUGACACAGGAGGUGAC